GACCCAGUAGCGGAUCGUCCGCGCCCGCGCCUCAUAAUCAAAUGAUAAUGCACGCGGGAGUCCUUGGUUUGACUCCAGGCUGGGUCA